CAAUUUGCCAAUAAUUUUUUUUUUUCAAAAAAUCACUACUACAAAUUCAUGAUUUAGCGGCAUUUACUCCGCAGCAUUUAUUUAAAUAACGCUAAUUAAUAUAUUUAAUAGCAUUACUUGAUAACUGCCGUUAAAUUUAAUAAUUUAGCAGCAAUUUACUAUUAAUGUUGCAAAAUAAAAUAAAUUAGCAGCAUAAAUUAGUAAAUGCCACCGAUGUUUCCAGCAUUUUAUAAAAAAUAAUACUAAAUAUAAUAAAGUAGCAGCACUUAUUGUUAAAUGCCGCAAUAUUUGCUCCGCGACAUUUAUUUAAAUCAUGUCCAUUAAUAUAUUUAGCAGUAUUACUUGAUAAUUGCCGCUAUAUUUAAUUAUUUAGUAGCAAUUUCCUAUUAAUGCUACAAAAUAGGAUAAAUUAACAGCAUAAAUUAGUGAAUGCCGCUAAAUAUAAUAAAUAAUUAUUAAUAAUUCCUUUUUUAUUUAGAAUAAAAAAUUUUAAAAUUAAAGUUUAAAAUUCGAAACAUAUAAUUUUAAAAAUUAAACUUAUAAUUUAAAAUUUAAAAUUCUAAAAUUUAUAUUUUAAAUUUUAAAUUCUAAAAUUAUUAAUUUUUAAAUUUUAAAAUUUUAAAUUUAUUUUAAAUUUUAAAUUUCAAAUUUAAAACUAUUAAUUUUGAAACUUAAAAUUUCAUAUUUUUAAAUUAAUAAUUUAAAUUUAGUAUCUAAAUUUAAAAUUUUAAAAUUUUAAAAUAGAAGACUUAAAAUAUAAAAAAUUAAAAUAUACAUAACUAAUAGUCGCUAGUGAAAGUGGCAAAGGACUUGGUUGUUGGUACUUGAGGUCUCAAGUUCGAAUCUUAGUUGAUUCACAUUUCCAACAAAGUUUAAGACAAAAAGAAAUAAAUAAAGCGGGUAGCAUUACAAAAAAAUUAAAUAUAGAAUUAAAAUUUUAAAAUUUUAAUUUCUAGAAUUAGAUAUUUGUAUUAGCGACUUUGUAUUAGCGACAUUAUAUUUAUGUGCCACUAAUAAAUAAUUUAAAAUUAACAUUUAAUCCCUUUUAGCGGCAUAUUCCUAAUGACACUAAUUGAUUUAUAUUAGCGGCAUUUAUAAUUAAUGUUGCUAAUACUUUUAGCAACAUUGGUAUAGGCAGCAUUUUGUGUCAUAUACUGCUAAAACUUUUAGCAGCAUUUGUUGAUCAUUUAGUAGCAUAAAUAAAUAUCACUAAUGACUAAUUUUUUAGUAGUGAAUACAGAAUAAGAUAGUCAAUAUAUGUAUCAAAAAAUAUGUACUGUAUUGCAGCAGAAUUAUAAAGUUUUCAAGACCAGUGCCACGUGAUCGCCACCUGCAGAUCCGGACAUCUCCACCCGAGAGCAGUCGCGCGACCUUUCCUCUCCGAUUAAUUUUAGGAUUGAAAAAACACAACGACGAAGAGGUGGGAAAAAAGAAAAAUCACAGCCCGCGCGACCGAAGUAUCGUGGUCCACAAGCUAAUGGGGUCCUCAACUUUAUUUUGACCAACUUUUUUUUUUUUUUGUAUAUUUUUAUUUUUAUAUUUUUAAAAAUUAUGAUAUAAUUAUUUAUGAUAGUAACAAUAUAAAUUUAGAGAGAGUAGUUUAAUUUACUAGCUGAAUUUUUUAUUCUAAUUUUUUUAAAAAAAAUGAUAAACGUAUAAUUCUCGUAUAAAUCACAUAUUCAAAUAGUUGAUGAAAUUUUCUUUCAAACCGUAUUUUUCAGAGAAUUUGAUAAUCGAUCGAAAUACGAAAUUUAUUUGUGUUUUAUUGGUAUCAAAAUUUUGCGGUAUCCAGAUUAA
rnacentral:lncRNA from 1 species